rnacentral:rRNA from 1 species
AACAGGGCGAUUAGUCGGAAGGAGUAGACGCGAAACCAAGUGAUCUACCCUUGGUCAGGUUGAAGGUUAGGUAACACUAACUGGAGGACCGAACCGAUAAGCGUUGAAAAGCUUCCGGAUGAACUGAGGGUGGGGGUGAAAGGCUAAUCAAACUUGGAGAUAGCUCGUACUCCCCGAAAUGCAUUUAGGUGCAGCCUUGGGAAUUACUACUGUGAGGUAGAGCGACUGAUAAGAUGCGAGGGCUUCACCGCCUAUCAAGUCUUGAUAAACUCCGAAUGCGCAGUAGUUCGAUCCCAGGAGUGAGGGCAUGGGUGCUAAGGUCCAUGUCCUAAAGGAGAAGAAUCCAGACCAUCAGCUAAGGUCCCGAAAUAAUUGCUAAGUUGAACUAACGAAGUCAGAUUGCUAAGACAGCUAGGAUGUUGGCUUGGAAGCAGCCAUUCAUUUAAAGAGUGCGUAACAGCUCACUAGUCGAGGAGUUUGGCGUGGAUAAUAAUCGGGCAUCAAGCAAUUUACCGAAGCUAUGGGAUCAGUAAUNNNNNNNNNNAUAAUCGGGCAUCAAGCAAUUUACCGAAGCUAUGGGAUCAGUAAUGAUCGGUAGGGGAGCAUUCCACUCUGCGUCGAAGGUGAAGCGUGAGCUUUGCUGGAGCGUGUGGAAAAGCAAAUGUAGGUAUAAGUAACGAUAAAGGGGGUGAGAAACCCCCUCGCCGAAAGACUAAGGUUUCCUGAUCAACGCUAAUCGGAUCAGGGUUAGUCGGGUCCUAAGGCUCAGCCGAACGGUGAGGCCGAUGGCAGAACAGGUUAAUAUUCCUGUACUACCUUAAGGAGUGACGUGGAGACGGAGGAGUGACAGCGCCGCGGACUGACGGAAUAGUCCGUUGAAGGGUGUAGAUGUUGAUUAUCCCAGGCAAAUCCGGGAUAAGAGUCGAACCUGAUAGUAUACCAAAUUCUUCGGAAUAAGGUAAUAGUGCGUGUAAACAUACUCCCAAGAAAAUCCGCUAAACUUAAUCUUUAAGGUACCCGUACCGCAAACGGACACACGUAGUCGGGUUGAAUAUACUAAGGCGCUUGAGUGAUUCACGGUUAAGGAACUAGGCAAAUUGACCCUGUAACUUCGGGAUAAAGGGUCCCAACGAGAGUUGGGCGCAGAGAAUAGGUCCAGGCAACUGUUUAACAAAAACACAGGGCUGUGCUAAAUUGAAAGAUUACGUAUACAGCCUGACACCUGCCCGGUGCUGGAAGGUUAAGAGGAGAUGUCAUCGCAAGAGAAGCAUUGAAUUGAAGCCCCAGUAAACGGCGGCCGUAACUAUAACGGUCCUAAGGUAGCGAAAUUCCUUGUCGGGUAAGUUCCGACCUGCACGAAUGGUGUAAUGAUCUGGACACUGUCUCAACCGUGAGCUCAGUGAAAUUGUAGUAUCGGUGAAGAUGCCGAUUACCCGCGAUGGGACGAAAAGACCCCGUGAACCUUUACUAUAGCUUAACAUUGAAUUUGGGUAAUUGAUGUGUAGGAUAGGCCGGAGACUUUGAAGCAGGUACGCCAGUAUUUGUGGAGUCGCUGUUGAAAUACGGCCCUUUGAUUAUUUGAGUUCUAACUCGUAGAUACGAGGACACUGUUUGGUGGGUAGUUUGACUGGGGUGGUCGCCUCCAAAAGUGUAACGGAGGCUUCUAAAGGUGCCCUCAGGACGAUUGGUAACCGUCCGUAGAGUGUAAUGGCAUAAGGGCGCUUGACUGGGAGACAGACAAGUCGAUCAGGUAGGAAACUAGAGCAUAGUGAUCCGGUGUUUCCGUAUGGAAGGGACAUCGCUCAAAGGAUAAAAGGUACUCCGGGGAUAACAGGCUGAUCCCUCCCAAGAGCUCAUAUCGACGGAGGGGUUUGGCACCUCGAUGUCGGCUCGUCACAUCCUGGGGCUGGAGAAGGUCCCAAGGGUUGGGCUGUUCGCCCAUUAAAGUGGCACGCGAGCUGGGUUCAGAACGUCGUGAGACAGUUCGGUCUCUAUCUAUCGUGGGCGUAUGAAAUUUGCGUGGCUCUGACACUAGUACGAGAGGACCGUGUUGGACUGACCGCUGGUUUACCAGUUGUGCCGCCAGGUGCAUUGCUGGGUAUCUAAGUCGGGAUUGGAUAAGUGCUGAAAGCAUCUAAGUACGAAGCCAGCCACAAGAUUAGAUUUCUUAGGGUCGUCAAAGACGAUGACGUUGAUAGGAUGCAGGUGUAAAGGUGGUAACAUCAAAGCCGAGCAUUACUAAUUGCCCGUUCACUUUCUUU